UACGUAGGGGCAAGCGUUGUCCGGAAUCAUUGGGCGUAAAGAGCGCGUAGGCGGCCCUGUAAGUCCGCUGUGAAAGUCAAGGGCUCAACCCUCGAAUGCCGGUGGAUACUGUCGGGCUAGAGUGCGGAAGAGGCGAGUGGAAUUCCGUGGUGUAGCGGUGAAAUGCGCAGAUAUCAGGAGGAACACCUAUUGCGAAGGCAGCUCGCUGGGACGUAACUGACGCUGAGACGCGAAAGCGUGGGAGCAAACAGG
rnacentral:rRNA from 1 species